UACGGGGGGGGCAAGCGUUGUUCGGAAUUACUGGGCGUAAAGGGUUCGUAGGUGGCCCGCUAAGUCAGACGUGAAAUCCCUCAGCUCAACUGGGGAACUGCGUCUGAGACUGGUGGGCUUGAGUGCAGGAGAGGAACGCGGAAUUCCAGGUGUAGCGGUGAAAUGCGUAGAUAUCUGGAGGAACACCCGUGGCGAAGGCGGCUCUCUGGACCAUAACUGACACUGAGGCACGAAAGCCGGGGGAGCAAACAGG
rnacentral:rRNA from 1 species